ensembl:snoRNA small nucleolar RNA U6-53/MBII-28
CUCCAAUGAUGAACUCGCCAUGCUAAUACUGAUACACCUUGGGUGUAAGUGAGUUGAACUUGCCUUCUCACACUGGUGCAGUGUGCACUGAGGAGG